GAGGAUUCAACUUCAAGCUGUUGGUGCCUCCUAGAGUCAACCCAAUCCCAGGACAGGUUUCUACCGUCAAACCACAGGAAAUAGUGGAGGAUGGGGGAUGUUUCAUGCAAACUUUGCAGCAGGGUUAUAAUAAAUGUUUGGACAAAGAGUCAAACAUGCCUUUUCCCUCUAUGAAUACGGUUGUGCCAACAAAACCCACCAGAUCAGAUGUAUUCAAGAUGAAAGUUGUGCCACCAAUGGAAAAUGAAGAA